UACACUCCUACGGGAGGCAGCAGUGGGGAAUAUUGGACAAUGGGCGCAAGCCUGAUCCAGCCAUGCCGCGUGAGUGAUGAAGGCCCUAGGGUUGUAAAGCUCUUUCACCGGUGAAGAUAAUGACGGUAACCGGAGAAGAAGCCCCGGCUAACUUCGUGCCAGCAGCCGCGGUAAUACGAAGGGGGCUAGCGUUGUUCGGAUUUACUGGGCGUAAAGCGCACGUAGGCGGACUAUUAAGUCAGGGGUGAAAUCCCGGGGCUCAACCCCGGAACUGCCUUUGAUACUGGUAGUCUUGAGUUCGAGAGAGGUGAGUGGAAUUCCGAGUGUAGAGGUGAAAUUCGUAGAUAUUCGGAGGAACACCAGUGGCGAAGGCGGCUCACUGGCUCGAUACUGACGCUGAGGUGCGAAAGCGUGGGGAGCAAACAGGAUUAGAAACCCUUGUAGUCCCAUG
rnacentral:rRNA from 1 species